rnacentral:rRNA from 1 species
UACGAGGGGUGCAAGCGUUGCUCGGAAUUAUUGGGCGUAAAGGGUAGGUAGGUGGUCUCAUUUGUCUAGGGUGAAAUCCUGGGGCUUAACCCCAGAAGUGCCCUAGAAACGGUGAGACUUGAGUCUUGGAGAGGCUAGCGGAAUUCCCGGUGUAGCGGUGAAAUGCGUAGAGAUCGGGAGGAACACCAGAGGCGAAGGCGGCUAGCUGGACAAGCACUGACACUCAACUACGAAAGCGUGGGGAGCAAACAGG